UUUCCUCUUACAACAACGGAUCUGUGUCCAGCACUCCUGUCGACGGAGGUGUCAGUCUGACUGGCAUUUCUGUGUUUCGGUUGAGAGCUGGGCAGAUCGACGACCUUGGAGCCAUUCAUUUUCUGAUGUGUAUGGCAGCCUUACGGCUUCCUGUCGACAGAUCUCAGAUCAAAUGUUUGCACCAGGAAUUCCUUGGAUCUUGAGCUCCCGCCUUGGUGAGCUCGGUUUGAGGCCCUGGUCGCGAACGGCGUCAUAUUCCACCCCUCUUUACCGAUCGGCCGUCGGCCUGUGAGGUUAGGGAUAAACCAUGACAUGCCAACAUUC
rnacentral:sRNA from 1 species